rnacentral:rRNA from 1 species
UACAGAGGUCUCAAGCGUUGUUCGGAUUAUUGGGCGUAAAGAGCGUGUAGGCGGCUAGGUAGGUCCGUUGUGAAACUCGAGGCUCAACCUCGAGACGCCGAUGGAAACCAUCUGGCUAGAGUCCGGAAGAGGAGAGUGGAAUCCUGGUGUAGCGGUGAAAUGCGCAGAUAUCAGGAAGAACACCCGUGGCUAAGGCGGCUCUCUAGUACGGUACUGACGCUGAGACGCGAAAGCGUGGGGAGCGAACAGG